AUGAUAAGUUUCGGAAUCAGUGGUGGGGGAAGCUAGCCGCCAUCUCCCAUCACCAAUUUGACAGAUACCAAUUUGCUGCUUCUUGCUUCAGCUGCUGUCUCCCUGCUUCAAUAUCUCAUCACCUCAGAAAUCUACUGCAAACCCUUUCUAAGAACAAGUACUUUAGGAACCAUUGGCAAUUCAAAUUUUGUGCCGUCGAGGAGCCAGCGCUUGUGUACAAUAACAUGAUCAAUACGAGGAAGAUGUUGAAGCAA